CGCAAGCCUGAUGCAGCCAUGCCGCGUGUGUGAAGAAGGCUUAGGGUUGUAAAGCUCUUUUGUCCGGGACGAUAAUGACGGUACCGGAAGAAUAAGCCCCCGGCUAACUUCGUGCCAGCAGCCGCGGUAAUACGAAGGGGGGCUAGCGUUGCUCGGAAUCACUGGGCGUAAAGGGCGCGUAGGCGGCCGAUUAAGUCGGGGGGUGAAAGCCUGUGGCUCAACCACAGAAUUGCCUUCGAUACUGGUUGGCUUGAGACCGGAAGAGGACAGCGGAACUGCGAGUGUAGAGGUGAAAUUCGUAGAUAUUCGCAAGAACACCAGUGGCGAAGGCGGCUGUCUGGUCCGGUUCUGACGCUGAGGCGCGAAAGCGUGGGGAGCAAACAGGAUUAGAUACCCUGGUAG
rnacentral:rRNA from 1 species